UGGGGAAUAUUGGACAAUGGGGGCAACCCUGAUCCAGCAAUGCCGCGUGAGUGAUGAAGGCCUUCGGGUUGUAAAGCUCUUUUGCCAGGGACGAUGAUGACGGUACCUGGAGAAUAAGCCCCGGCUAACUUCGUGCCAGCAGCCGCGGUAAUACGAAGGGGGCGAGCGUUGUUCGGAAUUACUGGGCGUAAAGGGCGCGUAGGCGGUUUGGCGAGUCAGGCGUGAAAUUCCCGGGCUUAACCUGGGGGCUGCGCUUGAUACUGCCGGGCUUGAAUUCGGGAGAGGAUGGCGGAAUUCCCAAUGUAGAGGUGAAAUUCGUAGAUAUUGGGAAGAACACCGGUGGCGAAGGCGGCCAUCUGGCCCGGGAUUGACGCUGAGGCGCGAAAGCGUGGGGGAGCAAACAGGAUUAGAUACCCCGGUAGUCCACGCCGUAAACGAUGAGUGCUAGACGUUGGCGGGCUUGCCCGUCAGUGUCGCAGCUAACGCAUUAAGCACUCCGCCUGGGGA
rnacentral:rRNA from 1 species